CUGAAGCGCCAUGAAGUGUUCCAGAUCCUGCCCAGUCUGACUCGCUAACUGUGGUUGGUGUAUUGAAUUAUGAUUUUUGCCACGUUCCAUCAUAGCUUCAUUUAAGUGACUAUUAUGAGAGGAUAUCAAAUUAUGAGGACGCUGUUGCUGAAGUUGUUGGGGAAACAUCUUGUCUGCCAACUCAAACCGGUUCAAUUCAUGGUCCUGGUGCAACAAGCGGCUGGCAUCCAUAGCAUCAUGAUAUAUGUUGAGUUCAGAUCCAGCAUUUCUUCUAUAAGCAUCAGUCCACGUCUCCAGAGCGGAGGUUGAAUCCGUCUUGGCACCAAAUGGCCCAACCCUUGCAGCACCAGAGUUUAGAACUUGAUCCUGCCCACUUCCUCUAAAAGGAACGUCAAAGAUAGGACCAUUCUUUCCUGCAGUCCCUUCAAGCUCUGACCAUAAUAAACCAAGUGGGUGCAAUGUCCCUUCGUGAUCUGGAACUCCACCCUCACAUAUUGCGCUUGGAGUUGCACGGUGGAUCUUUGAAGGAUCAGUGAGGCCUGUGGAAGUUUUUCCAAUAGCAUUGCCACCACUUCCAGGUCUUCCCGGAAACACAAUUUCUUCAUCUUGAGCAACAAAAUUGUUAAAGUCUUCACUAUGUAAAUAUGCAGGUUUAAAUUGACGAGCUGGAUGAUCAGGUAUUGACUGAACACGAUGUCCACCAAUGCCAUCAAAAUCAGAUGGCGGCCAGCUCGAACCAUCAAAGGCAGAAUAUCCAACCAUCUCAGGAACAGAAGCUGAGCUACGUAAAUCAGGAUCCAACUUCCCCUCUAGUACAGCAGAUGGUUCUGCCUGGGAAAGAUUGGUGUUACCAACAUGCUCAUGUUCAAAUUUCAAAUGCGGCAUUACAUCACAAAGUUCAAAGAAAGGUGAAUCUUCAGGGGCAUCUUCCAAGCGAACUAGUAAGUCCAUACCAAAAAAUCCCUGAUCAUACCAUGAUAUGAUGUCAGCUCCGAG
rnacentral:misc_RNA from 1 species